GACGUUCCAGUCCACUCAGGGACUUUCCUCAGAAUCAAAUAUGAUAUUUGAUCCGGAGGAAAGUCCCUGAGUGGACUGGAACUU